UUGGUGCGCCCCGCCCGCGAAUGCACCGGAAGGAAAUARACCGAGUACUGCGGGMAAACAAACAAACAAACAAACAAGCGGACGAGAACUGCAGAUAAGGCGCUUCGCUUUUCACUUUAUGGCGCCCUGGCGGUGCUUCCUCAAUGCCCUUGGGGCAGYCGGGGCGGCGUUGAUCGUGCCGCGGCUUUUCUAAACGCGUGUGUGACCCGAGCUCCGUGUCGGGCGGCUCCGCUCAGGAAUGCUCUCAAAGCCUCGGGCUGCCGCAGAGUUUCCUUCCCAGCCGUGGCAGCUGGCACAUGAGCCCCCGGACACGUCGUGUCCUGGCUGUCGCUGCUCAUUUAUCGGCGGGGAUAGGCUCGGUGGGGCAGCGCAGUGCUGCGGCUCGGCUCGAAACUGCAGCGAGGGACAGUUCCCCAGUACUGUUGGUAAUUUGUAGGCUACACAUCGCCUUCAGGCUGUAAACCCUCUUUUCCAGCUCAACCAAAUAACCUUUCUUCUGACUUUGUAAAGAUUGCGAAAACUGCUUGUGUGAAAAUGUUGAGAAGGCCUUGAGCUGCGCRUGAUAAGAAAGAAACUACUGGGAACACAGGAGGAAAAACAAAAGGCAUAUGACAGGAGGAGUGUGAAUACCUUGAAYUGGUAUUGCUGCCAGGUUGCUUGGUUGUUCCUUCUGGGCAAAACAGAAGAUGGCUUCUUCAAUGACUCUUCUGAUGACACAUUGCUGAUUGGAGUUCUGUUCCUUUCAAACUGUAUAUAUAAAUCCUGUUUUGUCUGGACACAGCAGCAAACAGGAGAUCGUUUCCAUGCUCAGUGUCAGGCCCCCACCAGGCAACAUCCCCCACACGUCCACAAAYACACAAUUGUAUGCUGCUGUUGCUUUUGUGGACAGGAGGGGCUGUUGUCRUCUAUUGCCCUUGCUGUCACAAGCCUAAUGUUUCAUUUAAUUACCUCCACAACCUGUGGAGGUUGUGCUGCUUUUUGUAUCUUCAUCUCAGAUAUACAGUGACUCCCCCAGACAACUCCCAACCCUCCUGAUUUCAGAUCAGAUUAUUCAACUUCCACUCCAKGUCUCUCAUUCUGGUGAAUGAUUUGAACAGUGACUUCAGUUGUUUUGGAUAAAAUAAAUUUUAAAAAUAAAGGAUAUUUGGCUGUAGCUGGAAUGGAGGUAGGCUAUUAUUCUUACUAACCCUAAAUAGGAUUUAGACUUUACCAUAAAUCAGAGAUGCAUCUCUUGAAAGUUGGUCUUGAAAUCUGCCUUUUAGUGUCUCCUGAAUCAUUAUGACUUUCUGUCUAGAUGAGCAGACAAGUGCCUGGUUUCCAGAGUGGAAUCCAUCACCCUGAAAUUUCUUUCAAGUAUCUUUUUUUUGUGUGCUUACCAGAAGCAAUUUAAGGCUGCAGUCUAAUAGUGCUUUUUCUUUGAAGAAUUCUUCUUAUGCCAGUAGACACCCCUAAGCCCCCUUAGUAAGAAGGGCUCCUCUGCCUGCAUGGUAAGCCAGCUCAGCCUACUGCCUGUGCAGGAACCUAUUCACUUGCUUUUCUUACAUUCUAUAUUUUUUUCAGAUACACCUUGUUUAAGAGGGUGAGUAAGAAGCAUAGCACAUAUGUCUUCCCCAAGUACAAUCCAGAAAGUGGCUGAAGGGUUUCAAGACUUUGGUAUCUAAACUAGGGAUUUUAUCUUUCCUGAUUUGUCAAUUACAAGAAGAGGACAUUUAACUGAUGUGCUAAGGAUCUUCCUCUUGCUCUUUGUCCUGCUGUUUGGUCAAAUGUUUGGUUUGUUGUUGGCUGGUUUUUGGGGGUGGGGUUUGUUUUGUUUUGUUCUAGCAUCUGAUAUUUUGUAGUAGAUGAAAAAAGAUACAUUGUGUUCUGGACUAAUAUGCCUUUUAAAAGUCAUUGUGUUAUAGAAAUGCACCUGCAAGUACAUACAUACAUACAUACAGAACUAUUCCCACUAUACUAGAUGGAUGCUCAAUCUGAUGCCUUAUCAAGAUAGAGCAAAGACAUGGAGUAAGCAGCCUGUCUAGUAUUUUGUGUAUGGAGCACUGUUUUCCAUCUUUCAUCAUGAUCCAAAUAAUGGUAUUGCAGACCACCACACAUGCAGCCYACUCCAAGAAAAUGUUAAGCAAGCAUAGACCCUUCAGAGAACUGUCUGAAUUUCUCAUUUCUUGGGCAGAGAUAUGUUAGAGUGGCUUUUGCAGUACUCAAACACAUCCAUGGCUACUUAAUACCAAGAAURGAAAAAGACAAAACAUAUGUUCUGGCAAACAUGGAGAAGCAGAUUAAAUUACAACAAGCAUACUCCUUAUCCCAACUGCUAUUUUCAUGACAUUCAAAAUAAGCAAAUUUGCAUACAUGUGGAAUUUGCAUUCACCUUCUAUYACCAGUUAUGUGAUUGAUUAAAGAUUCCAUUGUGUUAGAUAAAACGGAUUUAUUUUAGCAAACUGUCUAUUCCAGAUUUCUGCUGUUCCUUAACUAAGGAGUUAAGCAUUGGAAUGUCAGCCUGUGAGGGUUCAGUUACACUGUGUCAGGUGAAUGUAUGGUCUGAAUAAAUACAGCUACAAUUCUCCCACCAGAAUGACUAAGAAAGUUCUUUUUCCACUGAUUUAACAGCACCAGAACAGGCUUUCAGGCUUUUCAGUUUCCAUUUUGCCUAAAUACCGCUGUGCGUGGACUCAUACUCAUCUAUUCUGUGAAUGUGUUGACUAGAAAAUCUUCUGUUUCCAGUGCACAAAUCCUGGCAGAGGUGCAGGGGUCUUAGYUCAGACACUCAGGUGCCAGAAUAAGCUGUGAUCUUGUAUCUUGUA